GAAUGGUAACUGAGCAGAAGGUAUCUCUCCAGAGUACUUCAGAUCAUCCUAAAAGCAGCAUCAUUUCCACCAGGAACCCAGCUUCUACCAGAAAAGAGUGCUGGGAAAUGGUGCUUCUGGUAAAAUCUGAUCUCCUCAGUGGAAAUGCUCUAUCCCACCAGAUUUCGCAUAGAAAAUAGCUACAAGGCAAUUAAAGGAAUGCCGAUUUUAAAGGCAAAAAUAUAAUGUUUAGAGGAAGCACAUAAUGCAGACAGAUGUUAAUAAUGUUAUUUGAAAUUUCAGAUGGUAACAAGCUUGGAAUUGUCUUUUUCUUCAGCUAUGGACUGUAUCAAAGUUUAUGGGCUAUAAUUGUAUUUUGGUUUCUGCCAGGCAUCAGGAUAGCUCAUUUGCAUGACUGGUACAAAAUUUACUUAUUCAGUGAAUCAUGCUCAGCUGCUGUACUGUUCAAUCUGUAAUAAUAACUGCAGGGUGACUGACUAACGAUAACUAAUCUUCUCUCAACUACAAAAGCAUGUAAAUUAGUAAAAUAAAUGUUUAGUUGUGU
rnacentral:lncRNA from 1 species